rnacentral:rRNA from 1 species
GACGAACGCUGGCGGCGUGCUUAACACAUGCAAGUCGAACGAAGUGGCGAACGGGUAAGUAACGCGUAAUCAACCUGCCAUUCAGAGGGGGACAACAGUUGGAAACGACUGCUAAUACCGCAUACUGUAGGAGGGGAGUGCGGCUGAUUCGCUAGUUGGAGGGGUAACGGCCCAACACGGCGAUGAUCAGUAGACGGUCUUAGGGGAUGAACGGCAACAUGGGGACUGAGACACGGCCCAGACUCCUACGGGAGGCAGCAGUUGGGAAUCUUCCGCAAUUGACGAAAGUCUGACGGAGCAACGCCGCGUUAGUGAUGACGGCCUUCGGGUUGUAAAGCUCUGUUAAUCGGGACGCGGUACCGGAAUAGAAAGCCACGGCUAACUACGUGCCAGCAGCCGCGGUAAUAC